AAAAAAUGAAAAGAAAUGCGUAAAGAAGAGAGUUGGCAGGUGCACGCCAUACAAGAAUUAAUUUUCAUCAUCAUCUUCCACCAUAUGUCAUGAGCAAUGGAGGCUUUCCCUCACCAUUACCAGUACAAAAAAGGUGUCGACCUGUGUCACUCCCCCAUCCAAGAAGUGAGCUAAAACUUAUGAAACUCCAAAGCAUUGUCUAAGCACAGCGCACAAACUCUUCCAGCAUCUCCAUUGACAAAAUACUUGAAAAAAGCAAGGCAUGAUCUAUUAGCCCAUACACUUUUAAGCAUAAUGAUUAGGGGUGUUCAGAAUCCAAUCCGAUCCGCUCAAUCCGUCCGAUCCGUUGAAUCCGAUCCGUAUAAAUCCGAUCCGUGGAUUGGUGGAUUGGAUAUGGAUUGAAAAUUUAAAAAUCUACAAUCGAUGGAUUGGAUAUGGAUUUACUUCUGUAAAUCCGCAGAAAUCCGUGAAUCCGUAAAAAAAAAAAAACAAAUAUAUAUAUAUAUAUAAAUAUAAAUAAAAAAUUAUUAUAAAUUUAAUUAAAAAAAUUAUAAAUGUGACAUUGCAUAGUUAUUAAGCACUAUAACAUAUCUUAGCCAUUACCCAAUAAUAAUAUAAAAUGAAAAAUAAUUAAAUAAUCAAAUAUACAAAUAUAACUUGUAAAAAUUAUAAAACAAAAUAAAAGCAAAGUCACACACACUAGGAAAAGCAAAGUAACAUAACGCAAAGUCACCAACAAUUUGCAAACAAAAAACCCUAAGCUUCGCCGCCGUCACACACACUAGCAACACUCAAUACUGGUUGGAUACACUCUCGACACGGAUUUAAAGGACAUCAGUCGCGCGAUUCCGGCGAGAGCAAGCCAUCUUCUUUCCCAAGUCCAUCAAGCCACUUCACAUUCACUGGUUCCAGCUAAAUAAUUUCACUAUCACAACCUUCAAGAUCGCCACCCGUACGGCUUCUCCUGGUUCCCAUCGUGGAUGGCUCCGUAAUCACCAUUUUUCGACAGGCGCAACAGCCCUGGUGAAGGAUCAGACUGUGUUUAGUUUCCGAAACUUCGCCAUUUCAAUUAAUUGUGGCUUUAUUUGAACAAUUAAUUUCGGUGUUAUAUUAACGUAUUAUUGUAACUUUAUUUGAACAAUUAAGCUUGGUGUGUUAUAUUUUGAAACUUUGAACUAUUGUAGCUUUGUUUGAAUAAUUAGUCUCGAUGUGUUAUAUUUUGAAACUUUAAAUGUAUUAUUUUAGCUUUAUUUAAACAAUUAAUUUAUUUAAAUUUUAUUCAAUUUUAAAUUUAAUUGGUAGCAAAAUUAUUUUUAUAUUAGAUUUUUUAUUUCAUUAGUUGGAGAGAACUAAAAAUUUUUAAUUCAAAAACUAAUGCACAAAAUGGUGGAUUGCAUAUGGAUUGAGUCAAAUCCGCAUCCGAUCCGCAGACGUAUGGAUUGGAUAUGUAUUGAGUCAAAUCUGCAUCCGAUCCGCAGAUGUAUGGAUUGGAUUUGAAUUGAAUUUUAUCAAUCCAUGGAUUGGAUUGGAUUGAAAAAUUAUAAUCCGCAAAAUCAUGGAUCAGAUAUGGAUUGAUGUCCAAUCCGUAAAAUCUGAUCUGCGAACACAAUGAUUCUCAUCACAUCUCAUUUAUCCAAGAGGCCAUGAAAACAUGCUCAAAGAUUCCAAAAGAAAAUUGAUAUUUAAACACAUAAGAAUCAAUCUCAAGAAUCCAUUUAAGUUUGCAUUCGAGCCAAAACAAUGCCAAUCUCUGAUCUAUAAGACCAAACGUCAAAGUCUAUAAUUUCAACGAUCAAAUAACAAAUGAUGUACAAAUAAAAUUCAUGGAAAUCUGUAGAAACCUUUGG
rnacentral:lncRNA from 1 species